GGUCAAGGCCCCGCGGCUCCCACCGCGCCUGCGCGCUCCGCUCCCCUCCCCGCGGGCCUGCGCGGGAUCCCCUUUCCCCACACCCUCUCUGCCUCCCUCCCUCCGCGCAUGCGCAGGCGGCGGCUGUGGCGGGGGGUGCGCUGCGGCUGGCAGUGCGCGGCGGCGCAGGCGCGGUGGGGGCAGUGGCGGGCCCGGCGGCUGCGGCGGCGGCGGGAGGAGGAGGAGGAGGAGGAGGAAGGAGGAGAAGAAGGGAGGAGGAAGGAGGAGGACGGCGAGCGGCAGCCCGAAGACCGUGCCAAAAAACCUCUUUUGCUCAGAUGA
rnacentral:lncRNA from 1 species